GUGAUGUUAUGAAAGUUUAAGAUAUGAAAAUAACAACAAUUUAUGUAAAUAAAUGUGGAUAUACUGUUCUCUCUUGAUGAUUAUUGUGAUAUUACUUUAUUAUAAAAGGAUUAUGCGGAAUCAUAAAAAAAAUUAAAAAAUUAUUCUCAAAUACAAAAUAAUUAGGAAAUUAUCCUUACAGCUACAACAAAUUGUCGAAUCACCUAUCGAAAAAGGUUCUACAGAUUUGUGCGUAAGAUAUUCCAUAAGAUCUACCAAACAAUCGUUACAUACUAUAUGGUGUUAUAUUAAUGAUUUGAUUUAAUAUAAUAAAUUCGUGUCCCAGGACAUGAAGACUUAUAACAGGAAUAUCACACCCCAAAUAAUUGAGAUCUCUCUCUUUGAUUUUACUGACCACAAAACACAUCUAUCAUAAACAGAAAUAUCUUACUUUGAUAACAAAUAAUCUCAUUUCUUGAUUCUCAAACAUUUGAGCUUCAAAUGAUGGCGGAAAUCACAUUCAAGUUAAGCUUCUUCACUGUCUUCAUAUCAGCUCUACUUUUGCUCACUCAAUCAGGUGACACAUUUGCUACGAAGCUAAAUCGCCUAAAUGUAGAGGAUCAGGAUGAACUAGAAAGUGGUAGCUUAUUAAUGCAAAUGUUGAUAGAGGCCGAAACAAAAACAUUAGGACUUGCCAAAGAGGAGUAAUCAGUGCCGAUGAGAAGAUAAAGGUGAUCAUAGAGAAUGAAAGUGGAAACUUACUUAAAGAACUAGUAAAAGCGGGAGCAGUUCUGCAGUACGACAUUCAUGAGAUGGACGAGGUUUCGGACGAGACUUUAUCUGCCAAAUUGAAGUGCACUCAAUGUGGUAGAGAAUGCUCAUCAUGGAAUGACUGUUGUGGAAUUUGUGGUUGUGUAUAUAACUGUAGAGAAUAAAUUUCAAGCCUUAACCCCUAGCUUGAACCCCACUGUGAUCAUACAGUAAAGUACGGUGGCGUCCAAAAGGGAAGAAGAUAGAGCAAAAGA